rnacentral:rRNA from 1 species
UACGAAGGGGGCUAGCGUUGUUCGGAAUUACUGGGCGUAAAGGGCGCGUAGGCGGUGUGUCAAGUCAGGCGUGAAAGCCCCGGGCUCAACCUGGGAACCGCGCUUGAGACUGGCACGCUCGAGUUCGGGAGAGGAUGGUGGAAUUCCCAGUGUAGAGGUGAAAUUCGUAGAUAUUGGGAAGAACACCGAUGGCGAAGGCAGCCAUCUGGACCGACACGUGACGCUCAGGCACGAAAGCGUGGGGAGCAAACAGG